rnacentral:rRNA from 1 species
CAGCUAGUUGGUGAGGUAACGGCUCACCAAGGCGACGAUCAGUAGGGGAUCUGAGAGGACUACCCCCCACACGGAUACUGAGACACGGAUCCGACUCCUACGGGAGGCAGCAGUAAGGAAUAUUGGACAAUGCCCGCAAGGGUGAUCCAGCCAUGCCGCGUGCAGGAAGACGGCCCUAUGGGUUGUAAACUGCUUUUACACCGGAGAAAACCUUCCCUCGUGAGGGGAGCUGAUAGUAUGGUGAGAAUAAGCAUCGGCUAACUUCGUGCCAGCAGCCGCGGUAAGACGAAGGAUGCAAGCGUUAUCCGGAUUCAUUGGGUUUAAAGGGAGCGUAGGCGGCCUGAUAAGUCAGUGGUGAAAUCUCUCGGCUUAACCGAGAAAUUGCCAUUGAUACUGUCGGGCUUGAGUACAGUUGCCGUUGGCGGAAUAUGACAUGUAGUGGUGAAAUACAUAGAGAUGUCAUAGAACACCGAUUGCGAAGGCAGCUAACGAAACUGUAACUGACGCUGAGGCUCGAAAGUGCGGGGAUCAAACAGGAUUAGAUACCCUGGUAGUCCGCACUGUAAACGAUGAUUACUCGCUGCUGGGAGGCAACUCUCAGUGGC